GUCGCUCCGGGUUUGGCUGGGGGGCAUUAUGUGCUCGGGGCGACCCUCUCCUGCUGGGGAGAACGCGGCCGGCAGGUGCCUGGGAAGCGGCACGGACCCGGCGGCACCGCUCUCUGCCUCCUCCCCGCCCGGCUUUGGCCGCGCUACGAAGUGCGGUGGGGCGGCCGCAGGAGAAAGGAGCGGAGCAACGGGUUGUCCGUUUGUCCCGCAUUGGCUCUCGUUUCUCCGAAAGCCUGUGGUGCUUUCCUCAUGGAGUCUGACGGGGAUGUGGCUCAGAGAUGUCUCUCUGCUUUUCUACCCUCAUCUACUGUCGUUCUGUGAAUAAAGGGUACGGCAGCAUGUAGGCUCACUAAGCAUUUUCAUACAGCCCCUGCAAAGAACUGAGAUGCACUGCACUGUAAAAUACCGUUCACGCUGCAGAGCAGCAGAUAAAGAGAGCCCUCUGUGCUAACUUCGUAUGCUGCGAGCAGCAGGGAUUGAGCCAGAAGGAACAAACAUUCCCGCCAGCACUGCCGUCAGGCUGUCCCAGACACUGACCCGAACUUCCCACACCACCGGGAUGGUGCUCGGUGAGUGACACCUAUGGAGCCCCUCACCUACCGCCCGGAUAGUGAGGGAACCAAAUUCCAUCACAUCGGCCUUAGGGACAUCUCUAGGAAAAGCUGGUUCGUGCAGAAGCUUGGGGAGAUGCACUGGUUGCAGGCAGGACACCAGGUGCAGCGUGCCACAGCCACAGCAUCACAACUCGGAGCACUCCCUGAUUUCCCAGCACCGAGCUGGUGGGAAAAAUGAAUAGACCUCAAACUGAAAGAUAGAUACAGGUGUAAGAUAGACUCAGCUAAUUGAAAAGCUAUCUGCUCUGACAGACUGGUUUAAACUAAUUACACGAUGUAGUGCAUGCUGCCACCUACGCCUUAUGAAUCAGGUUUCUUGCACUGCAGCUCAGCAUCCGCGCGCAUCCCUGUGAGACUCCACGGGGGACCGCAAACCCUGGCAGCCACGGCCGUGCUGGGGAACGAGGCAGAGCAUUUCCCACCUGCUCACUGCAGUGAGGAUGCCUCGAUGCCGAUGAGGAAGCGGCAGCAAAACGCGAGUAGUGGCUGGAGCCUCAUCUGUACCGCAGCUCCUGCCAGCACAGCUGUACCACUGACAGCAGCGGAACAUUUUGCUCAAGCUCUCUAGAGGAAUCAAAGCCUGUAUUUUCUGUCUCUGGCUCUCUCUUGUUCUGUUGUUCCUCGUUCUUUAGAAAAAAAAUAAAUAAAUCAGCCACACGCAGCACAUGGCUGCUCGCUGUGUUUGGGGAAAAAAUUGCUCGGGGGGGAAGGAAAAAAAACAGCCCAAGCUGUUUUGAAAUCAGUAGUGUGUAAACAGUACCUGGAACUGAGGGGAACAAUGAUAUUAAUUAGUACUUCGGUGUCAUAAAUAUGUGCAUCGCUGCCUGCUGUUUCAAUACGAGACAGCACAACUUCUGUGAUGGAGCUUGGAGAGUGCUUGGGGAAUGGCACCACUAAUGCCUCCUCCAGCUCUUAUGUAACCGACAUCACAAGUCAGAGCCCAAAUUGCAAAGCGUAAGCAUGUGCAUCAUAUUAAGCAUGUAAACAGUGCCUUAAAUUACUGUCCUUUUACUGAUGGUCUGGCUUUAAUCUACUGCUAUUUCUGUUCCUCAGUUCCGUUCAUUUCAAUACGCCAUGGUGCCAUGAAUAGCAGAGCCAAGCGUCUCCCCUUCAACAGCACACCAUGAAAAUGUUCCUCCAAACUGAAAUAAAUUCAGCCCAAACCGCUUUGGUUACAGGUUUUAAAAAAGACACUGGGCCAAAUCCCCAGCUUGGCUCCGGCGUGUGGAAAUCUACUGAGAUGGCACAGAAGUUGGGAGAGAUUCGCUGUGUCUGCACCAUGGGAAGGAGGUCUCAAGGGGCAGUGAUGGGGCUGCCUCAUUUCGCACAUGGAUGCGUAGUAACGCAAGCGUAUGGCACAGGGGUCCCUGAGAAAUACUCUGCAGCAUUUGUCCUGUGCAAAAAUCCACGUCUGUGCUCUUCGUUUCACUUACUGCUGCAGAAGGAAAUCCAAUGACUGCACUUCCCAGAAAGUUCUUCUAUUUUAAUUACGCUUACCUAGAGCUAUGUGUAUACUGCCAGAUGUACUACUUACAUCUUUUAAUCAUUUCUUUAUUGCUUGAAAUAAUUGCUACGUAAAAGCUCUUAUCAAACCUU